GGGCGUUAAGUUGCAGGGUAUAGACCCGAAACCCGGUGAUCUAGCCAUGGGCAGGUUGAAGGUUGGGUAACACUAACUGGAGGACCGAACCGACUAAUGUUGAAAAAUUAGCGGAUGACCUGUGGCUGGGGGUGAAAGGCCAAUCAAACCGGGAGAUAGCUGGUUCUCCCCGAAAGCUAUUUAGGUAGCGCCUCGUGAAUUCAUCUCCGGGGGUAGAGCACUGUUUCGGCUAGGGGGCCAUCCCGGCUUACCAACCCGAUGCAAACUGCGAAUACCGGAGAAUGUUAUCACGGGAGACACACGGCGGGUGCUAACGUCCGUCGUGAAGAGGGAAACAACCCAGACCGCCAGCUAAGGUCCCAAAGUCAUGGUUAAGUGGGAAACGAUGUGGGAAGGCCCAGACAGCCAGGAUGUUGGCUUAGAAGCAGCCAUCAUUUAAAGAAAGCGUAAUAGCUCACUGGUCGAGUCGGCCUGCGCGGAAGAUGUAACGGGGCUAAACCAUGCACCGAAGCUGCGGCAGCGACACUGUGUGUUGUUGGGUAGGGGAGCGUUCUGUAAGCCUGUGAAGGUGGCCUGUGAGGGUUGCUGGAGGUAUCAGAAGUGCGAAUGCUGACAUAAGUAACGAUAAAGCGGGUGAAAAGCCCGCUCGCCGGAAGACCAAGGGUUCCUGUCCAACGUUAAUCGGGGCAGGGUGAGUCGACCCCUAAGGC
rnacentral:rRNA from 1 species